GACGAACGCUGGCGGCGUGCUUAACACAUGCAAGUCGAACGGAAAGGCCCUGCUUUUGUGGGGUGCUCGAGUGGCGAACGGGUGAGUAACACGUGAGUAACCUGCCCUUGACUUUGGGAUAACUUCAGGAAACUGGGGCUAAUACCGGAUCGGUGUUCCUGCUGCAUGGGGGGGGUUGGAAAGUUUCGGCGGUUGGGGAUGGACUCGCGGCUUAUCAGCUUGUUGGUGGGGUAGUGGCUUACCAAGGCAUUGACGGGUAGCCGGCCUGAGAGGGUGACCGGCGACAUGGGGACUGAGAUACGGCCCAGACUCCUACGGGAGGCAGCAGUGGGGAAUAUUGCACAAUGGGCGGAAGCCUGAUGCAGCAACGCCGCGUGCGGGAUGACGGCCUUCGGGUUGUAAACCGCUUUCGCCUGUGACGAAGCGUGAGUGACGGUAAUGGGUAAAGAAGCACCGGCUAACUACGUG
rnacentral:rRNA from 1 species